UGUCACUGUGUUUUUCUUAUAAAAGAGGAGCUGAUAGGUGAGAAAAUCACAACGGUGCAGUGAACAACACUCAACACUUUUUUAGAUAAAAGAGAAGAGAAACAACAACGUAACUAUGAUUGCAAAAAUAUGUGCCAUCCUUCUUUUGUUUGUUGCCUCUAGCAAUGCACAGGCAACAACCACACCUGCUCCAACAACAACAGCCACAGAAUCAACAACCACAGCUGCUGGAGCCACAACCACAACCACAUCUGCUCCAACAACAACAACCACAACCACUGGAUCAACAAUCACAGCUUCAUCCUCUGCCCUCAUGAGCAAAAUCAGUCUCCUCUCAGUCAUUAUGGCUGUGAUGACAUAUGCACUUCACUGAUAUU